CGAUCCCCAAUACCGUCUACGACCCCAUCAGGAGGGAUUCACUUCCACUGGAAGAAAUAAAAGAUGUUUACCUUCUUGACUUUGUGGGACCUCCUGGUUUUGUUGAAGAUAUAGCCCCUAAAGUCGAAAGAAUAACAAUCCUGGACCAUCAUAAGACCGCUUUUUAAAGUUUGUGUGUGAAUGCCACACUUGGGCAAAAUGUGACCAAGGUGAUAAACAUGUAGCGUAGUGGUGCGACAAUUGCAUUUGACUUUUUUAGAAACAAGCUCUUAACAGAAGUUAGCACCUUACGGGGUAAUGAAAGUGGUAAAGAUGUAGGCGAGGUCAAAUAUGUACCUGACAAUAAGGCUGAAACAGUACACAAGCUUUUUAAGUUUAUUGAAGACGGGGACUUAUGGAGAUGGAAAAUUCCAAAUAGCAAGGCCUUCAUCA